GAAGAAUUAUAGGUGACACUGAAGGUGCGCUGGGAUAGGUAGGAAGUGAACCUUGAGAGAACAGAGUCUUGGAGGCUAAAGGAUAGGAGUUUAUUGAGGAGGAGUGGGUGGUCAACUUUUUGACAUAAUGCUU